ensembl:lncRNA
GGCAAAUUACCUUCCUCCUCCCAUCAGCUCCCCGCUUCCCCAAAAAGAGCUCCUCAUCCAAACAUCACACUACUUACUUACUUACUUACUCUCACUCACUCACUCACUCACUCUCACUCACUCACUCACUCACUCACUCACUCACUCACUCACUCACUCACUCACUCUCACUCACUCACUCACUCACUCUCUCUCUCUCUCUCUCUCUCUCUCUCUCUCUCUCUCUCUCUCUCUCUCUCUCUCUCUCUCUCUCUCUCUCUCUCUCUCUCACACAGCCACUGUCUGUCCAGAAUUAAGAAGCACUUUUCAGAGGUGACAGUGACACUGCUGCUACAUUGACACGUCUUCAAAUCACAGCGCCCGCUUGGCACAAAAUGCUGAAUUAAACCAAUAAGAUACAAUGCAGCAACCAUUAUUUCAACAAAUCGAUAUCUUGUCAAAAUUCAACACUUCCUUUUAGUCUUCUCUGCACCAGAUUGAUAGUGCCGUCUCUUCAUUUUCAAACAUUAACGCACACAACUGACACAAGCAAUUAAAUUUAUCAAAGUUAUUGUUACCAAACGUUACUGUCUGAACCCAUGGCAUGAGGCCCUCUGGUGGCCAUGUGGCCCGAUGUAUCCACUUAUGUCGGUUAUUAGGUAGGGCUGGCCCUGGGUGUUACCAUAGGGUUCUUUGUGAUCUCCCAUGAUAUUUUUCCCAGUGCCCCUGGAGUGAUUUUCAUUGAACAACCACUUUUUGGGAGAGUAACAGCAGUGCUGACUUCCCUCCAUCUGCCUCAACUUUAAAGAACUUUCAAAUUUAUACUUAAAAUCAAAUAACAUGCUGUAAGACUACAAAAUAUUUAACUUUUCAAGAUGAAUGAGAGAAAAAUAUUAGCAGAUUGUUCAACUUAAUUUUCCAUAGUAAUGAGCAACUUAGGACUGUUUCCAUUAGGAAAAAAAUAUUUGGCUUCUGUUUAUUAACAUGUCUCAGUAAAAAACAAAAAGCAUUAACAAGCAAGGGUCUAUGGGAUGAACUGUGAAGAUGCAGCAUUCAGAUAAAACCUGAGGUGUGAGAUUUAAUAUUGAAACAUUUUGGUUCGGGGCAGGUGUCCCAGUAAAGUAUUUUGUCUAUAAACACAGGGACUUUGUAAACUUACUCUUUAAACCUGAGGUGUGAGAUGUAGGGCAGACACUGAAGGAAACUCCUCACUUCACUCUCUUCAUCUGAGCAGUCUCUCAGCUCCACUGGUUUCUUCUCUGUUUGGAGUUUCAGCACUUCUAGGAGGAGGGAGACUUUUCUCUCUGAGAGCUUUAUGUACCAGACUGCAGGAACUGACUGGUAAACUGGCAGCAAUGCUGGAAGGACUCUCCUGCCUGUUUCACUCUCAUACUGCUUCACACGUGAGUACAGAUCCAGCAGGAAAUCACUCAGUAUGUCAUAAUAAUAAUAAUAGUCUCCAUAUUCAGUGAAUGUGAUCACUUUCUGCACUGUCUGCAGGAUGUUAUGUGGUUGGUGUAGAGCUGCUUGCAGACACAAAUCCAGUAGAAAUGUUCUACAUCUCUUUUCUUGUUCCAUCUCUCCCUGUAUAUAGUAAAACCUGGAGAAAAGUGAAAGAC